AAUAGGAAUCUCAUAUGAAUCUGUUAUUUUACUGUCAAUAAGUAAAACAGUGAACCCACAAGGUUUGCAUUCAGAAUUUUUACAUUUAUUAAAGAAUACACCAGCAGAUACAAAACAACAAAGCAAACUUAAGAGUGCGUUUUUGAACACAGGAGUAAAAAAAAACUCAAUGAUUUGAACUACUCAACGAGUACGGUUACAUGCACACAAUAAUGCGAUUGUGGAUAGUCUGAUUAAUCUAAUAAUUUGAUUAAAACUUUUACAUGCUUUGCAAGAAGAGCCAUUUCCCUAAUAAUCCUGUUUACAGGGACAUUUUAAAAUCAGGCUACCUGAUGGCGCUGAUAAAUGCAGUAAAUUACCAAUAAAAAUAAACAUUCUACCACAGUGACCAUAUUAUUUUUGUGAGGCAUAUCUGAUUCGAGUUCCGACAUAUAAAGUGUGUAUGUGAAAACUACUUCCUAAGACUCAUACAUUCCGUUGUUCCGAACUCACUUCACUCGCACUAAAGAGUGAGGCUCGCUCGGCUGGCGCAAGCACAUGUGCAGAUCAAAUACACAGGUAGAAUGCUGAUUAAGUCCAGGAACCACACCCUAACAGAGAUUAUUUUUUACACUUUAACAACUUUUACUAGUUGAAUGUAGCCAGAUAUUUUUUGCUAAUAUGCAAAUGAGGCAAUACAUCAUUAAAUAUGCGCAUACAACAUCAAUUAAUUUUUCUGGACACUGAAUGAAGUCAGCCUAAAUAUUUUAAUUUCAUGUUAAGACAGUCCAGCACCAGACUUGUCCAGAGCAGAUUGUGGAUAAAUAUUUUUUUCAUCUUUCUAUCAGUAAAAUAAUGACAUUUACAUUUUUUCCAAGUAAAAUGUUACCUAGAAUAAAAUAUUUACAGCAUAUCAACAAUUCCCUCUGGGCAAGUCUGGAUAAUAUAUCUAAGGAUAACCACACAACGCGGUGAAUGCUGAUGCUUCUGAAGCUGAUGAAAAGGAGUUGGCAUGUGGUAAGAGUCUGACUUUCAGGAAAUGGCAGUUAAAGACAAGUACACUGAAUUAAGACUACCAAACGCCAAAACCCUAUUUAGACCCAAUUCUCAUCUCUUCAAAGUAAGUUACUAAAUGAAGUCCAGUUUAUAACAUUCUCUAUGAAAUGGGCUUGGAAAUUGUAUAAUUCAAUGUAGUGAGCUUUGAAAUUAUUGAUGCAUGUCCGGUUGAGCUAACGUGCGCUAAUGUGAUUAGCAUGACGUAAGUAACAAGAAAGUUUCCCAGGACAUAAACAUGUCUUAUAUGGUCAGAAAGAUUAACAAGAAUUUAAGCUAACUACACUGUCCAAUUUACAGUAGCUAUUACAGUGAAAAAGAUCAUGCCAUUGUUUGAGGAGAGGGCACAACAACAAAACUAUUAUCACGGCAACUGGUUUGAUAUUCACCUCUGAAGGUAAAUAAUGUACUUACAUUCAGUAAUCUUGCUCUGAUUUGUCAUCCUGAGGGUCCGUCCCAAAGAUGAAAUGUAGUAUAGUUCUGUUUGAUAAAAUCCAUUUUUAUAUUCAAAUGUGGGAACUGGGUUCCCCACCAUCUAGAUGUGUGAAGGUUAGUGUUUCUGUAGGGAAGCUAUUUAUCCAUCAUUUAUGACAUUCCUGGGAGUGUGUAAACGUAAAUUUCGUAUUACCAUAUCAUUUUUGUAUGUUGUCUAUAGUUAUGUACUUGAAUAUGUAUCAAUUGACCAAUUCGGCACAGUUGGGCAGACUUGAGACAACGUUUUGAACAGUAAUGCAAUGGUUCAUUGGAUCAGUCUAAAACAUUGCACAUACACUGCUGCCAUCUAAUGGCCAAAAUCUAAAUUGAUCCUAUACUGCUAAGUGAUAUAAUGGCCUCUCUCUUGCAUUUCAAAGAUGGAACAAAAAAAUUUAAAUAGAAAACACAUUUUUUUCUUUGUAUUAUCUUUUACCAGAUCUAAUGUGUUAUAUUCUCCUUCAUUAAUUUCACAUUUCCACAAACUUGGUAUUAGGAAUUUGUAUAUCCUUGCUUCAGGUACUGAGCUAAAUAAAGGGAGUUAGAUUUGGGUAUGUCAUUUUAGGCAAAAAUUGAAAAUAAAAGGGUCCAAUCCUUUUAAGGUAUUCUAAUAAUUAGAAAGAUUACUCAGAAAACCAGGUGUUUUAAUUGAUGUAUGCUUUCUUCGAUUUUGACCUUACGCCGAUUAAGAUAAACGCUUUACUCUGCUUACAUGACUAUUGCAUAAUAUGCUUACUGCCAAAAUCAGUUUAAUAUUGGAUUAUUACUGUGCAUGUAAACAUACCCAUUGAGUAAUAAACAACCUUACCAUCAACGUCUUCAUACAAAACAAAAAGAUAUGUAGCCCACAUGUUAAAAUGGAUCAAUAAUCCAUACAUUUGAUGCAGGAAAAGAAAAAAGUGGAAUAAUUAUAAAUUGUUUUUCCUUAAACACUUUUUUUCCUCCCUUCUAUAUACAUUAUUGGAGAGAUACCUGAUGACAACUUUAUAAACUAAGAACUGCUAAAAUGUUCAUUUUCCAUAGCCCCAGCAUUUGAAUAUCUUUAACAUCCUUUGGGCUCCCGAGUGGUGCAGCGGUCUAAGGCACUGCAUCUCAGUGCAAGAGGUGUCACUGUAGUCCCUGGUUUGAAUCCAGGCUGUAUCACAUCCGGCCGUGAUUGGGAGUCCCAUAGGGUGGAGCACAAUUGACCCAGCGUCGUCCAGGGUAGGCCGUCCAUUGUAAAUAAGACUUUGUUCUUAACUGACUUGACUAGUUAAAUAAAGGAUAAAAAAAAACACAAAAUGUACUGGAAACAAAGACAUCUUAUCACAAUUUCGUUGGACUUCUAAACUGUUACCAAUAGCAGCCAAAUGUCCCAUACUCAUUAACCAGUGUUGAUUGAGUUUUGAUGAGGACGAAACAACUUUCAGUAAAAUGUGUGUCCCAAAUUAUAAUCAAUUUCUUAUAUAGUACACUACUUUGCCUACGGUCAAAGGUAGUGUACUACAGUGGUAAGAAAAAGUAUGUGAACCCUUUGGAACUACCUGGAUUUCUGGAUAAAUUGGUCAUAAAAUUUGAUCUGAUCGUCAUCUAAGUCACAACAAUAGACAAACACAGUCUGCUUAAACAAAUAACACACAAUUAUAAUUUUUCAUGUAUUUAUUGAACACCGUAUUAACAUUGCAGGUUGGAAACAUUAUGUGGACUCUUGGAUUUAAUAACAGGUUGACUGACCCUCCUUUGGCAGCAAUAACCUCAACCAAACGUUUUCUGUAGUUGCGGAUCAGACCUGCACAACGGUCAGGAGGAAUUUUGGACCAUUCCUCUUUACAUAACUGUUUCAGUUCCACAAUAUUCUUGGGAUGUCUGGUGUGAACCACACUCGAGGUCAUGCCACAGCAUCUCAAAUCAGGUUGAGGUCAGGACUGACUGGGCCACUCCAGAAGGUGUAUUUUCUUCUGUUCAAGCCAUUCUGUUGUUGAUUUACUUCUGUGUUUUGGGUCGUUGUCCUGUUGCAUCACCCAACUUCUGUUGAGCUUCAAUUGGCGGACAGAUAGCCUUACAUUCUCCUGCAAACUGUAUUGAUCAACAGAAAAAUGAUUUUGCAAGUUUAUGAUAGCAAGCUGUCCAGGCCCUGCGGCAGCAAAGCAGCCCCAAACCAUGAUGCUCCCUCCACCAUACUUUACAGUUGGGAUAAGGUUUUGAUGUUGGUGUGCUGUGCCUUUUUUUCUCCACAGUGUUGUGUUCCUUCCAAACAACUCAAAUGUAGUUUCAUCUGUCCACAGAAUAUUUUGCCAGUUGCGCUGUGGAACAUCCAGGUGCACUUUUGCAAACUUCAGAUGUGCAGCAAUGGUUUUUUUGGACAACAGUGGCUUCUUCCGUGGUGUCUUUCAAAAUGACUAUGGCGAUCAAAACUCUUUCCACAAAAGGAGCAUAUGAAACAUCUAUUUCUUGUGUCGUCUGUAGUGGCGCUGCUGCCCUCUGUACUGUCAAAACUGUCUAUGCCAAGGGCAAAUAAAAUCCCUUCUUGACUGUAGUUUGGUUCUGUGAUGUACGCUCUCAUUGCUGUUUCCUCCUCUACGGGUAGUGGUGGCGGUGGUACCCGGUCCUGAAACCUGGGUAGUAUUGUCCCAUCACCAUCCUCCCUGUUCCUUGCAUGUAGAACCAUCCCUGCAUACUGCUCUUGCUCAAUCACAUCCAACUUGUCUUUUUCAUCCUGAAAAGACAAGUCUUCAAGUUCCACCUCUCUAGAAGCUGACGUAUAGAACGCGUGGUGGUGGUGCAGUCCAUCAAAAGGACUGUGAUGGUAUUUGACACUGGGUGAAACAGGAUGGGAGUUCUGCUGCUUUGUCACAUCGGAGGAGCAGCCUGGAUGUAGUGACGCAGACUCAGUAUCACUGUGCCUCUCUGUGAAAGAUCUACACAGCUGACUCUCCCUCUCAUCCAUGACAUACUCUGGGUCGUCCUGGUAAUCUGGUCGCUCUGUGCUUUGUUGGUGUGGAGGUCCUGACUGACUGAGUAUCUGGGAUUCAAACUGCUUUUCUUUCUCUGCUUCCCCCACCAACCCCUGCCCCCUGCCCUCCUCCUCCUCACUGUGCCCGGAGCUAGGCUGUGCUUCAGCAGGUGAGGGCUGAUCCCUCGGUUCCUCUGGGUUCUCCGAGGGUCUAGGAUAAACGUCAGGCUUCUUAUCAUCAAGUGGAGGUUGUCCCGUUAGCAUGUCAGCAUCAUCUGCUUGUCAGGAAAAGAGUAUCAAGUAUUUUAGCAUAGAUUUUAACAACAUGGCAAUUCAAACAAUGUAAAUCAGCCAACAUGAACUGUUUAACGUCAUCUUAAACCCGACAGAGAACAGGAAAACACUUUGU
rnacentral:lncRNA from 1 species